GUCCCGCCCUCUGCGCGUGCUCGGUUUGGAACUUAAGCUCCCCUUGCACGCGGGGCGGCUGCAUGCUCUGGGCUCCCUGCGUUGCUAGAACGCUGUGGAUGACGCAGGGAAGGAGGCUGGCCCCGCUAUCAGGGAGAUUAUGUCCUAGUGGGGUCCCUACAGGCAAUUAACUGUUGGAUGUGACAAGAAUGACCCAAUUCGUAUGAUCAGCUUUCAGAAUGGAUGAAGAUCUUUCACGGAGGGUGACUUCAAUUUAUCUCCAGCCUCAUCUGAUGUCUCUAUGUCCCACGCAUUGCUAUCUGCACACACUACGUUCUUGCUUCCUAGCCUUUGCUUGUUAUCGCCCUCUCCUGAAUUUUUUUUCCUAAAUACUUUUUCUCCUGCCUAAUCCUGAAUUAACUUAAUAACAUUCCAUUCAAACAUCA